CUAUACCAGCAUAGAUGAAAAGCUAAUAUAGAUUUGAUGUAAGGAGGAGGAGAGAAAGCUUUAAAAACAUGAGGCAGAAAGUACAUAGGAUGAGAAAAGAGAAGAUAAAUAUGUUUCAUAAUGAAUAACAUUUUGCUACUUCCAGAAGGUAGUGUUCUGUGCCAGAAAUUUAGAUUUAAAUUUAGAUUUAGAUUAAAAUAUUCUUGGAACUCCUACAAUCUAAAAUCAAGUUGCAGAAGAUUAAAGUUUAACCUGAAGUAAACCUCUGCUUCCAUUUCUGCAGGACAGAUAUAAACUAUCAAUAUCACUACAGGGAGGCAAUGCAUAAAACAAAGAAACUCAAAUAAACAGAUUAUUGGUUGCAAGGCAGGUGUCAAGCAACGCCAUAUUCCGAGGCAGAUGAAGUCAUGACCAAGACAAGCAAGUAGCAACACUUACCUAUAGAUGGGCUGCUUCUUUCGGUUCCAGUUCACCAUUUUGACCAUCAUCAUUUCCAACUGGGGACUAUUCUACAAUCUAUCAGGCUUACAGUACAAUAUUGGGAUAUUUCUCACCACAAAUAGUGGGGAUCUUCAGCAAUCAAGAUCUCCAAGGACCACAUAAAGCAGGAAGGCUACCAAUGACCAGAAUCCUGUACAACCUGACAUUUUCAAAAAACACUUUGAAAUGAAGUAAACAAGCACAUAAAAUUAGGUGUAAGCCCAUUAUAGUAAAUGUAUUUUUUAUCUACCAUUUU